GGCCUCUGAUGAAUGAACUUGGGACGGAGCCAGGGGCGCGCCCGAUCCCCGAGCUCCAGCCAGCCGGGUGCGGCCAAGGGCGAGCGGAGCUUUCCCGCACCCCCGGCCGGCCCCCACCCCCACGGUUCCGACCCGGCGCCCCCAGCCCAGCCGGGGGGCGCUCCACACCGAGACACACCCCCUGCCUGGCCUCCGGGGCCCAGCCAACCCACGUUCCCCUUGGCGAGAUCCACAUAAAACAGACUCAAGGCAACGCAACACAACCCCCCCAAUAUUCAUCCCCAGGCAGGCACUCGGCGUGGGAAACUGCAGCUCAGAUUGUCUGGUAAAUGAGCAGCUGACAACAGGCUCUUCUUGGAAGUGCCGUAACGUCAGUACAGCUCUGCUUGUGUCACACAGAUGGUGCCUGAGAAAUGCCUAGGGUGAGAUCCUCUGAUCGGUCCAAGUGUUCUACAAUCCUCAACCCUAACAGCUGCUCACUCCUCCUUUCAUGUGAGCUUGGAAUGGAUUAUCCCCAUUUUACUGUUGUUCUGUUGAAUUUGUGCUAAUUGCAAGACGUGACCAGAAUGUUCCACCAGAAAACAUGGAGAGUUUCCUCAAAAAGCCUGGAAAUUGGGGCACGGAGCUGAAAUGAGUUGCCAAAGGUCACCCAGCAGACCAGUGGCAGAACCAGGAAUAAAACCGAGGUCUCCUGAAUCCCAGUCCAAUGCUUUACCCAGUAGACAACACUGCCUGAAACCUGUUUUUAUGCCGAUUUCCCUGCAGACCCUGGGCAGUGGGGGCAUUUGCUCCGCUACACUCAGCUUCUUUGAAAAUCUGGCCCCGUGUCUGAAAUGGGGCAUCCUAGAAUCAGUGCUCACCUCUGGACGUGGGGUUGUAAGCAAAUGUGAUCCCUUCCUCCCAACAAACCCGCAACCUGGCGGGAUCCAGAGCCACAUCCCCUGCUUGCAGUGACUAUGGGUACCAGCCAGUGGUGAGUCUCCCUCACAAGUCUGCCAGUUCUGGUGAACUGGGCAACAGUUGACACCAGUGGCCUGGGUUGUCUGGGGGCCUGUGUGAGCCUGAAGCCUUCUGCUCUCACCUGCCCUGUGCCUCUAGCUCCUACUGUUCAUCUGCAAGGCAGCCUGCUUCACAACUGAGUAUGGCCGGGAACAGCCUGAUACCUCCUAGAACAAGCACCUCUAAGCUCUAUUCUACACGCUCUGCCCAGCCCCAGAGCCCAGCGCCGUCUGCCUCCCGCUGCUUGAGAUGCCUCUGGGUCACUAUUGAUUUUUUUUCCCCCUCCCGGAUAAAGAAGCCGUUUGACUUGCUGCUCACCCCUGCACAGCUGUGCGCACAGCUGCCCCGGCAGCUGCCGGCAGGAAGGCUGGAAUCCAGACCCGAGCCGCCGGAGAAACAGCUGCAGAAGCAACAGCAAAGGGGGCUGGCGAAUUGGUGGAGCUAAAUCUCAGCUGGGCUGAAGCAACAGGGGAGAGUGAGGCUCUCAGAGGCCCCUGUGAGGGACCGGAUGCUGAGCGGGAGAAGCUGGAGGAGUCUCUGGAUCUCCGCCCUUCAUCCUGCUGAGUAGGUAGAUAACCCUGCAGAGCCAUGCUGGGCCCACUGGCUGCAUCUCAGCAGCACUGUCUGUAUGGAGGGGCCGAUCCUGAGCCAUUGACUCUGGUGGGAUCAGGAUGGGGCCCAAAGGUUGUAAGGUGCAGUGGGCGACAGACGUUAAGUGGCCUCUGUUAUUUGUCAGUCUACAAGUCUGCCUGGGCUAGUGUCUGUUGCAGUGUG